GCGGGCGUAGUUUAGUGGUUGAACGUCUCCUUGCCAAGGAGAAGGUCAUGGGUUCGAAUCCCAUCGCCCGCU
rnacentral:tRNA from 1 species